UACGUAGGGGGCAAGCGUUGUCCGGAUUUAUUGGGCGUAAAGAGCUCGUAGGCGGUCUGUCGCGUCGGCUGUGAAAACUCGGGGCUCAACUCCGAGCCUGCAGUCGAUACGGGCAGACUAGAGUUCGGUAGGGGAGACUGGAAUUCCUGGUGUAGCGGUGAAAUGCGCAGAUAUCAGGAGGAACACCGGUGGCGAAGGCGGGUCUCUGGGCCGAUACUGACGCUGAGGAGCGAAAGCGUGGGGAGCGAACAGG
rnacentral:rRNA from 1 species